rnacentral:lncRNA from 1 species
GUUCCGGAUAGGUAUUCAUGACACCGAUACAAAGUGAGAACAUGAAAGCGACACGUCUUACGGUUUAGGCUGCUAACUUCGUCAAAGUUUGGCGGAAAAAGAAUAAUAAACAGAAGAAAUACAGUAAGGUCUUUCCCUUUUGUAAAAGGAAAGACCUUAAUAAUAAUAAUCAGAAGAAAUACAGUAAGGUCUUUCCUUAUAGAAAAAGGAAAGACCUUAAUUAAAAACCAAUUCUUCAGAGAACAAUUGAAGGUCUUUCCACCUCGAUAAUUAGAAUGAAAUUGAGAAAAAGAUGUUAGAAAGGGUCACUCCUUGUUGAUGUAAUUUGGUACCUCAACUGAUAUAGAAAAAUAAGAUUAAUAAGUAUAUGCAGAAGACAUAAUUGUUUUAUAAUGAACAAAAACAAAUUUAAAGCAAAGGUCAAAAUCUAGAACGUCAAGUUGACCUUUGACCUUGACCUCAAUUUCAAGGUCAUAGGUCAGUGAUCUCAAAUCAAAAGACCCCAGGUCAAUCACUUGUAUGGUUGAAAAGACAUAUCGAUUUCAAAGACAAAAGGGGAGAAAACUCAUAAAAGGGUUGACCAAAACACUUCGACUUAAAUGGGUUGAAGUUGCCCUCUUGUUGUAAACAAUAAUUUGGCAAACACAUCGUAUCAUUAACUGUUACAUUUUCUUUUGAAUAACGAUAACAAGCAAAAAUCAAAAUUUAUAACAUGACCUUGACCUUUGACCUUGACCUCAAUUUGAAGGUCAUGGGUCAGUGAACUUAAAUUAGAAGGUCCGAGGUCAAUCACUUGUAUGGUUGUGGAGAAAUAAUGAUUUCAAAUACAUAAGGGGAGAAAACUCCUAUAAGGGUUAACCAAAACACUUCGACUGAUUAAUUUGAAGUUGCACCUUAUUGUAAACAGUGAUUUUGCAAACAUAUCAUAUCAUUAACUGUUACAGUUUCUUUUGAAUAACGAUAACAAGCAAAAUUCAAAAUUUAUAACAUGACCUUGACCUUUAACCUUGACCUCAAUUUUCUUUAUUUGGACCAAGGACUUCAUAUCAAAAGACUGUAGGCCUCUACAACUUAUACUGUAUGAAUUAACCCAACAUAUCGUUUAUUUUAAAUUUUCAAAGGGAAAUAACUCCCAUAAGAUGUCUUCUGAUUCCCUCAGUCAAAGUAAAACAAAUCAUUCUUAAGAGUAGACGAACAAUUUGGUGAAAACAGUUUGUAAAAAUCUUAUACGGUUUUAGAGAUAUAGCGAUAACAAGAAAAAGGGGACACGGGGAGAUAACUCCUAUAAGAAUAAGUGUUCGGUCACACAGGGUGAGUUUUGAAACCUCCAUUACUGAACAACAUCGUUGGCCAAACAUCCAUUAGAUAUGUUGUAAAACAAAAAAGCAUCUCAGACGGCAGAAGAAAAAAAAAAAAAAAAAAAAAAAAAAAAAAAAAAAAAAAAAUAAUCAGAAGAAA